rnacentral:tRNA from 1 species
GGAGUUGUAGCUCAGUAGUAGAGUUCUUGCCUUGAACGCGUGAGGCCCUGGGUUCAAUCCUCAGCACCA